AUGGUCAGGUCAGCAACACAUACAGGAAAAUUGGAGCAAUACAAAGAUUAGCAUGGCCCCUGCACAAGGAUGACAUACAAAUUCGUGAAGCGUUCCAUAUUAAA